rnacentral:rRNA from 1 species
UACGUAGGGUGCGAGCGUUGUCCGGAAUUACUGGGCGUAAAGAGCUCGUAGGCGGUUUGUUGCGUCUAUCGUGAAAACCUGCGGCUUAACUGUGGGCUUGCGGUGGAUACGGGCAGACUUGAGUUCGGUAGGGGAGACUGGAAUUCCUGGUGUAGCGGUGAAAUGCGUAGAUAUCAGGAGGAACACCGGUGGUGUAGACGGCUUUCUGGACCGUAACUGACGCUGAGACACGAAAGCGUGGUAGCAAACGGG